rnacentral:rRNA from 1 species
UACGUAGGGGGCGAGCGUUGUCCGGAUUUAUUGGGCGUAAAGAGCUCGUAGGCGGCUUGGCAAGUCGGGUGUGAAACCUCCAGGCUUAACCUGGAGACGCCACUCGAUACUGCCAUGGCUAGAGUCCGGUAGGGGACCACGGAAUUCCUGGUGUAGCGGUGAAAUGCGCAGAUAUCAGGAGGAACACCAGCGGCGAAGGCGGCGCUCUGGGCCGGUACUGACACUGAGGAGCGAAAGCGUGGGUAGCAAACAGG